rnacentral:rRNA from 1 species
GCAGUCGAGCGAACAGACGAGGAAGCUUGCUCCUCUGACGUUAGCGGCGGACGGGUGAGUAACACGUGGAUAACCUACCUAUAAGACUGGGAUAACUUCGGGAAACCGGAGCUAAUACCGGAUAAUAUAUUGAACCGCAUGGUUCAAUAGUGAAAGACGGUUUUGCUGUCACUUAUAGAUGGAUCCGCGCCGCAUUAGCUAGUUGGUAAGGUAACGGCUUACCAAGGCAACGAUGCGUAGCCGACCUGAGAGGGUGAUCGGCCACACUGGAACUGAGACACGGUCCAGACUCCUACGGGAGGCAGCAGUAGGGAAUCUUCCGCAAUGGGCGAAAGCCUGACGGAGCAACGCCGCGUGAGUGAUGAAGGUCUUCGGAUCGUAAAACUCUGUUAUUAGGGAAGAACAAAUGUGUAAGUAACUAUGCACGUCUUGACGGUACCUAAUCAGAAAGCCACGGCUAACUACGUGCCAGCAGCCGCGGUAAUACGUAGGUGGCAAGCGUUAUCCGGAAUUAUUGGGCGUAAAGCGCGCGUAGGCGGUUUUUUAAGUCUGAUGUGAAAGCCCACGGCUCAACCGUGGAGGGUCAUUGGAAACUGGAAAACUUGAGUGCAGAAGAGGAAAGUGGAAUUCCAUGUGU